rnacentral:lncRNA from 1 species
GCGUCCUCAGCUGGUCCUAGACAUGCGUGGCGUCGGGGCUGUGGCACGGUCGGGUCCGGGGACACUUGUUUAACAAGACAUCUGCCCAUGUCCCUGGCCCAUCUCAUUGGCUGCAGCACAUCACAGUGGACCUUCUGCCUCCUCCCAGAUGCCCAGGGACAGUGAUCUGGAAGGAAGGGGCUUGAGGCUGUUUUCCUAGAACUCGACUUGAAUGCACCAAGGAAAGGCCAUUUGUGGGGACAUAGCAAGAAGGCAGCUGUCUGCAAGCCAGGAGGAGAACCCUCACCAGAAACCUCACAGAAAUCGGCCAACACCCUCAUCUCGGGCUUCCAGCUUCAGAACAACGAGAAAACAAAUUUCUGUUGUGUCCUGGUUCCCAUUUGUAAUUGGCACCCUAAUGAAACCGUUUUCUGUAGCCCUGGAAAUGGCUGAAAAUGAGGGGAGGGAAAUAAAGUGCUAUAAUUCAGAGCAUGGAGCACACCUUCCUGGUUCACCUGAGCUGGAUUCGGAGAGGUAAAAUGGCCAUUACCUCGUCUAAGCUGCCACUUACAGACACAGUACAGGAUGAGGCCCAGACCCACAGAGACAACGAUGAUGGCCACAGCUAAGAUGAUCCAGAAAUUAUUCCUCCACCAGCUCAUUGCAGUGGAAUCCUGAGAAGAAUGGAGAGAGAAGAAUGAGAGGGCAAAAGCAGAUGGCUACACCGAGAACUCACGCCAGCCCAACACACUUUGAUCUCGAGGCCUCUGGAAGGGAAGGUGCCUAAUGAACUACUGAAAGCCAGAGAUGCAAUGACAAAGCAGUCGUACCAGGGCCCCAGGCUGCAAUCCCCUGGCCCAGUGCUGAUCGGUGGCUCCCAGGGACACGCCCUGAUGCCAGCGCUGGCAGAUGUCUGCUGUGAAGAGAGCAGGAAACUGUCCCUUGGAAAGCUGAGAUGCUUACCUGAACUGUGAAAGUAUCCAUAUGUGAGCAGCUAAGGAGACAGCAGUGGCUGGAGUGCUGCAGCUCAGGCACAGCUGGGAAGCUCAUGACCCACGGCUGUCCAGAAGCCAGAAUCUUCUCACUGCCCCGUGUCGCUCCCGCAAGGCCUACCAGAGGACCCUCAUGGUGUGGUAGGGGGUCCUGGCAGGGGCCAGGGGCCAGGGUGGAGACUUGGCAGUGGGGGUGGGUUUGGUGUCCCCACAGACGAGUUUGCCGUGAGCAUUCCUGGAUGUGGCAACCUCAGUCUCAAGAAGAGCGACAGGACGCCAGCUCCCAUGCAGAGACAGAUCCAGCUUCUUGCAUGACUGCCUGAAAUCCGCCUCCUGUCAGAUCAGCAGGGGCAUUGGAUUAUGAUAGGAGUGAGAACACCAUUGUGGACUGCGCAUGCCAGGGAUCUAGGUUCCGCGCUCCUUAUGAGAAUCUGAUGCCUGAUGAUCUGUCACUGUCUCCCAUCACCCCCAGAUGGGACUGUCUAGUUGAAGAAAAACAAGUUCAGGGCUCCCACUGAUGCUACGUUACGAGAUGAAAAGUACACUGAAUGGAAUUUGCAGCAGAUUACACACUGCAGACCACAGAUUAAUGAAUUU